AGAAAAUUGUGCUGACCUAAGUAGCUUUGGGAAUGAGUGGAGGCUAUAAAAUUAAAGUAGAAGAAAUAGUAUUUAAGCACUGUACUCCAGUUGAUAAAGUCAUUUGCCAUGGUUUUCUCUGGCGACUCCGUGGAGAAGAGAUGGGAGAAGGGGAGAAGCAGGGAAGGCAGUUAGGAGGCGUCUGCACUAAUCCAAGGAUGAAAGUCCAUAUGAACACACAGUGAGAAGGCAACCAUCUAUGAGCUAGGAAGAGAGCACACUACACCAGAACUUGACCAUACUGACACCCUGAUGUCAGACUUCCAGCCUCCAAAACUA